AAGAAAAAACUACAUCAGUAACCAGUUGCAGGUUCUCAUUCAUGAUGUUACAUAGAAAACCGAUAAGAGUUUUUGGACUACCGUACUGCUUUUCGCAUGUUUGACGUUUAUCCGUCCAUAUCCAUGUUGUCGUGGCUAAAACAACAAAAAGGUUGGAAUCUAGAUACUACGUGCUUUCACUUUACGCUAUGUACUUCGAGGACUUUGUUUUUAGCUGUGAAAACCUUAUUCUUCUAUAAGCAAG